GAGUUUGGAGGGUGCCGGUCAACGAAGCCACGCGAGGUAUUUGAAAGGCAAUCAGCCCGACCGUCCCCCUAGAUUCAUCGGAGAAGGAACUCAGUGAAUAUUGCCCUGGGUCCUGGUAAUUCCACCUACUGAAGACAACUGCCCCUUCUGCUCAUAUUUCCUGAGUCAACAUGGCCGUUCCUAACUUUGAAGAGACUUUAGACAUUCUUUGUUACAAUGAACCUAGAAGAAAGAAGAGAAAUAUUACAGCGACUGUGCCCGGGACUGUAAGGCGGAUAAGACCCAGCAGAAUAACUGCCAUGGAAGGAUGCUCCUCCUGCCAAUUGGCACUUAUCAAUGACAUCGAGGGAGAGGGACAGAGUGCCUAGGUAUGAGCCUUCAUCAAGUGGUAUGAAGGCCCUACCCCAACAGAAAGUGCUGAUGUGAUGAAAUGGUGCUUUGGACAAGACUUUUCCUCCAAGUUGGUCCUAUCCAGGGGUUGGCAAACAGGGUCCCUGGACAUCAUCCAUGUGGCAUACUCUUAUGAAUAAAGUUCUAUAGGACACA
ensembl:lincRNA Pantr1 POU domain, class 3, transcription factor 3 adjacent noncoding transcript 1